CCAACUGAAGGUUACCAGGGUAACGAGCGCAGCUGCGGGUUGCCGGAGCAACUAAGGGGAGCCAGCUGCCUGUAGGAGGCAGGGCCUGGCCCUUAUAAAGCCCAGGGCUGAGGCCAGGCUGGCAGUUCUCUCCCAGCAGCUCCAGGAGUGAGGAUGUGGAGAGGAGCCUAGUAGCAAAUCUGCCGGCAAAGGACGCAUCUCACGGAGUUUUUCUCAUCAAGGAUCCGCCCCUCACCCUCGGAGCUCCAUUCUCUUCCCAGUGCUGCCAGACACUCUCAGGUACUAUCCCUAUGACAGGAGAGCAGUCUUCCCCGGGUGCAACUAGGAAGGUCAUCUUGAUGGUCACGGUGCUU